ensembl:snoRNA
CCCGCAUGAUGAUAUCAUGGCAAGUUUGAUGAUCCAGUCAGACCAAGAGAUUGUAUUUUCUAGCCUGCUGUUAGCUGGGUAAUCUUGGUAGUGUGAUGGAGUUUUAUUGCACUGCUGUAAGGGCCCAGCCACAGUUAACUUGUCACCUUCUAACACCUCUGCCCCCCCAGAGCAAUGGGACAGGGCAGGUAGGAGAUGUCAAACAAUGUGUGGAUGUUUGUUUGUCUUUGUGUGUCUUGUUGUAUGGAUGUAUAUGUAUCAGCUGGCUAGAGGCUAUACUUUCAAUAAAGUUGGUUUGGCAAGUAUGAAUUACCUUCUUUGGUAAACUGAGGGCA